rnacentral:rRNA from 1 species
UACGUAGGUCCCGAGCGUUGUCCGGAUUUAUUGGGCGUAAAGCGAGCGCAGGUGGUUUAUUAAGUCUGGUGUAAAAGGCAGUGGCUCAACCAUUGUAUGCAUUGGAAACUGGUAGACUUGAGUGCAGGAGAGGAGAGUGGAAUUCCAUGUGUAGCGGUGAAAUGCGUAGAUAUAUGGAGGAACACCGGUGGUGAAAGCGGCUCUCUGGCCUGUAACUGACACUGAGGCUCGAAAGCGUGGGGAGCAAACAGG